rnacentral:lncRNA from 1 species
UUAAUCCUUACAAAACGUUCAGACAAAAACAGGGCCGGGUUCCCCAGCAUCCCAGAGCCACUGAGUGCACAGACCGGUGUUGGUCUCGGCUCUGAGCCUCGGAGUUGUAAGGUUUCCACACGACUGGCAAGUGAAAGGUAUUCAGAGCCUUUGGGCCAACUCUGUUUGUUUGUUUAUCUUCUUUGGGAGCGUUUGGGGGUGUGUGUGGGGGGGUGGCGAAUGCACGGAGCUGCGAGACCACUGGAGCUCUGUCUUCUGAGCUCAAUCACUGAACCGGCUAAGAGAGGAACAGCGUCUCUUGGCCCGAGGAACCUUCCUAGAGGUUAAGAGUUAGAUCUGAACAGAACUCUUGGAGCCCCAACCCCGCCCUCCCCCACCGCAUACAUUAGCGCAGACAGAGCUACCGAAACACAGGCACGCACCACACACAUUCACUCGGCCCGCGGCGCCGAGGACACACGGAGCGUCGCCCACUGGGCGGGGGCCGCUUGGGAACAAAGGGCCAGGGAAGCGACAUCCCGGGCGCUUAUUCUGAGCCUACUUGGGGGUGACACGGGCCGAGGGUGGGAGUGUAAAGAGUAUGUAGGGAGGCGUGAGUGCAGACAGCGGGGUGGGAACGGCGGCUUGGUCCAGAAGUGGGGCGCGCACUGAAGGCAAGCGUGCGGGAACCUCGACUCAGAGGGUGUUGGGGGUUGGGACCAGGCGGUCCGUCCCACUCGGCUCCAGCCCUCCUCCAGGCCUCAACGGCUUCGGGGCUCCUCCGGUCUCCAGUCAGCUGACGCGGGGGGGCGGG